UCCCUGGUGGUCCAGUGGUUAGGACUCCAUGCCUCCAGUGCUGGGGCCCUGGGUUCAAUCCCUGGUCAGGGAU